rnacentral:rRNA from 1 species
AGAGUUUGAUCCUGGCUCAGGAUGAACGCUGGCGGCGUGCCUAACACAUGCAAGUCGAGCGAUUUUCUUCGGAAGAGAGCGGCGGACGGGUGAGUAACGCGUGGGUAACCUGCCUCAUACACAUGGAUAACAUACCGAAAGGUAUGCUAAUACAAGAUGGUAUAAGAGAUUCGCAUGGAUUUCUUAUCAAAGCUCCGGCGGUAUGAGAUGGACCCGCGUCUGAUUAGCUAGUUGGUAAGGUAACGGCUUACCAAGGCGACGAUCAGUAGCCGACCUGAGAGGGUGAUCGGCCACAUUGGAACUGAGACACGGUCCAAACUCCUACGGGAGGCAGCAGUGGGGAAUAUUGCACAAUGGGCGAAAGCCUGAUGCAGCAACGCCGCGUGAGCGAUGAAGGCCUUAGGGUCGUAAAGCUCUGUCCUCAAGGAAGAUAAUGACGGUACUUGAGGAGGAAGCCCCGGCUAACUACGUGCCAGCAGCCGCGGUAAUACGUAGGGGGCUAGCGUUAUCCGGAUUUACUGGGCGUAAAGGGUGCGUAGGUGGUUUCUUAAGUCAGGAGUGAAAGGCUACGGCUCAACCGUAGUAAGCUCUUGAAACUGGCAGGCUUGAGUGCAGGAGAGGAAAGUGGAAUUCCUAGUGUAGCGGUGAAAUGCGUAGAUAUUAGGAGGAACACCAGUGGCGAAGGCGACUUUCUGGACUGCAACUGACACUGAGGCGCGAAAGCUAGGGGAGCAAACAGGAUUAGAUACCCUGGUAGUCCUAGCCGUAAACGAUGGGUACUAGGUGUUGGGGGUGACAAUCCUCCAGUGCCGCAGUUAACGCAUUAAGUACCCCGCCUGGGGAGUACGGCCGCAAGGCUGAAACUCAAAGGAAUUGACGGGGGCCCGCACAAGCAGCGGAGCAUGUGGUUUAAUUUGAUGCAACGCGAAAAACCUUACCAGGGCUUGACAUCCUCUGAAGCUAUAAGAGAUUAUAGUGUCCCUUCGGGGCAGAGAGACGGGUGGUGCAUGGUUGUCGUCAGCUCGUGUCGUGAGAUGUUGGGUUAAGUCCCGCAACGAGCGCAACCCCUAUUCUCAGUUGCCAGCACUUCAAGGUGGGCACUCUGAGGAGGCUGCCGGUGACAAACCGGAGGAAGGUGGGGAGGACGUCAAAUCAUCAUGCCCCCUAUGUCUUGGGCUACACACGUGCUACAAUGGCCUGAACAACGGGCGUGCGAAGGAGCGAUCCGGAGCAAAUCCCUUAAAUCAGGUCCCAGUUCGGAUUGCAGGCUGCAACUCGCCUGCAUGAAGCAGGAGUUGCUAGUAAUCGCGGAUCAGAAUGCCGCGGUGAAUAAAGUCCCGGGCCUUGCACACACCGCCCG